rnacentral:rRNA from 1 species
GAAAGCCUAGAUCUUAUCUAGUACGGUACACGAUGGGUCCGCGUCUGAUUAGGUAGUUGGCGGGGUAACGGCCCACCAAGCCCACGAUCAGUAGCCGGCCUGAGAGGGCGGACGGCCACACUGGGACUGAGACACGGCCCAGACUCCUGCGGGAGGCAGCAGUGGGGAAUAUUGCACAAUGGGGGGAACCCUGAUGCAGCGACGCCGCGUGAAGGAAGAAGUAUCUCGGUAUGUAAACUUCUAUCAGCAGGGAAGAAAGAAGACGGUACCUGACUAAGAAGCCCCGGCUAACUACGUGCCAGCAGCCGCGGUAAUACGUAGGGGGCGAGCGUUAUCCGGAUUUACUGGGUGUAAAGGGAGCGUAGACGGCCAUGCAAGCUCGGUGUGAAAGGUGCGGGCACAACCCGCAGACUGCACUGAGAACUGUAUGGCUGGAGUGCCGGAGGGGCAGGCGGAAUUCCUGGUGUAGCGGUGAAAUGCGUAGAUAUCAGGAGGAACACCGGUGGCGAAGGCGGCCUGCUGGACGGCGACUGACGUUGAGGCUCGAAAGCGUGGGGAGCGAACAGGAUUAGAUACCCUGGUAGUCCACGCCGUAAACGAUGUAUACCAGGUGUCGGGCAUCAAGGAUGGCCG